rnacentral:lncRNA from 1 species
GGGCUCAGUGCAAAGUGAGGUGCCCGCGGUGAGGGGCACGGGCAGUGCAGCAACGACGACACCGCGACCGCCGGGCCACCGUGUCACCACCACGUCACCACCACGUCACCACCAUGUCACCACGACGUCACCACGGAUGGUGCCCGUCCCCCCGGGGUCGUGGUGACACUACAACCCCAGCCGUGCCAUCCUGGUGAUGCCCGUCACGGUGACAAUGCUGGCACGGGGGUCCCGCCACGGUGACUCCCAUCAUGGUGACAGUGUUGGCACGGCGGUCACGUCAUGGUGACACUGUUGGCACGGCGAUGCCAUCACGGUGACACUGUUGGCACGGCGGUCACGUCACGGUGACCCCCAUCGUGGUGACAUUGCUGGUACAGCAGUGCUGGCACGGUGACACCCAUUGCAGCGACCAGGGGGUGGCACAGUAGUGUCGCGGUGACGCCCAUCGCGGUGACGCCGUGGGCACGGCGCUGCCACCACCCAGCGCGGCGUUGUCCCCUGCACCCGUGGCGGUGGUGCCCACCCGGCAUCACCCCGGUGCCGUCCAGCGGUGACGCCGGGCUCGGUGGUCCCAGUCCGGCUCUGCCGCCUGUCCCAGCCGUUGGCCGUGCCCGGUGCCGUCCCGGUGACGUUGGCGGUGCCGUCCCGGUGACGCCCUUAGGCCUCCGAGGCCGCUUGGGGUUUCAGCUGCGCCUUCUCCAUGGCCGUGCCGUAGGGCACCGAGCGUUUGAAGAAGCCAAGCUUGGGGGGG